rnacentral:rRNA from 1 species
UACAGAGGUCUCAAGCGUUGUUCGGAAUCACUGGGCGUAAAGGGUGUGUAGGCGGCGUGGAAAGUCAGAUGUGAAAUCCGGGGGCUCAACCCCCGAAUAGCAUCCGAUACUGCCAUGCUGGAGGUCUGUAGAGGAGUCUGGAAUUCUCGGUGUAGCAGUGAAAUGCGUAGAUAUCGAGAGGAACACGUAUAGCGAAAGCAAGACUCUGGGCAGAAACUGACGCUGAAACACGAAGGCCAGGGUAGCGAACGGG